AGUGGGAUAGCUGGGGCAAAUGGUGGUUCCAUUCCAAGUUUUGCAAGGAAUCUUCAUACUGCUUUCCAGAUUGGCUGCACCAAUUUGCAAUGCCACCAGCAAU
rnacentral:pre_miRNA from 1 species